ACGAAUCACCGAAAUCUCUCCUCCUUAUAACCCUCUCCAUCUCCAACUCCUUCUCUCCACUCCCAACAUCAUCAUCAUCUCUCUCUCUCUCUCUCUCUCUCGCAGAGUGGAGAGGGAGGAGGACGCUUCGGAAGAUGAGACGCAAGCGCGCGUAUCUUCAAGGUCAACUUGAAGAGGUCCCCAUAGAUGGAAUCUUUGCUGGAUUUCAAGCAAAAGCAGCAACACGGAGCUCUUUAGCAAUGGAUGCUUGCUCGUGCUAAUUUGGCGCUAUCCUAUCUGAGCUUUUUCCCCACUACUUCUCUUUUUUCAUUUUUCCAUUUCUAUAUUCUCGUCCUCCCCGUCCCGUUCCGCCCUUCUUGACCUUGUAAGACCUUUUCUUGACCUUGUAAGACCCCCCUCCGUUCCCGCCCCGUCACUUCUCCUUCCGGCCCCGGGCUCUGAAUCGCGAGUGAGCGAUGUAGAGUACGGUCGCCUGCCUUCCCCGUUCCCACCCAACUCAUCUUCUCCUUCCUUGUCUAUCCCUCCUGAGCUACUCCGUCCCGAAAUAAACAAAAAGAAGGCCGAACAUGCCUAUAUCUCCUUUCUCCCGAAACAAAGCUUAUCCGCCUGACAUGCGGACUUAAUUGCAGACUUGAGUCUCUGUUAGCCUCUAAAAUAUGUGAAAAGAAGACUUAGGGAAGGAUAGAAAAGUGUGAAAUAUUACCAGGGUCUCUUCUGGUUUUCUAUGUUUUCUUAGCAAAGAGAGAAUAUUAAUUGCUGUUGCUGUUAUUCUUGAAGUUUUAUAUGGCGUGUAUGUAUGCCCUUUCCGUUGUUGAGUAAAGGGCAAUCGAUUGCAAAUUUCUUUCCCUCUUUUUUCCCUUUUUUUUGUUUUUUUGUAUCUGUAUGGGAGGCAGAAACAUGCGGUUGCCAGGGCAUCAGUUUUGUUGUUUUAUAUGUCGUUGGGAGAGCCUAAAAAUUCAAAAAAACGAAGGAAAAGAUAAAAACAAAGAAAGAGUGCGUGCAGAUCAGAGUAAAUAUUCUCUCACGUCUCUCUCUGGCGAGGGCUUCUCUUCCUCGUGACCGUUCUUAUGUUAUGUACUGUAUUAUUGGAA